UACAGAGGUCUCAAGCGUUGUUCGGAUUCAUUGGGCGUAAAGGGUGCGUAGGCGGCGCGGUAAGUCGGAUGUGAAAUCUCGGGGCUUAACUCCGAAACUGCAUUCGAUACUGCCGUGCUUGAGGACUGGAGAGGCAGGUGGAAUUCCGGGUGUAGCGGUGGAAUGCGUAGAGAUCCGGAAGAACACCCAUGGCGAAGGCAGCAAACUGGCCGGCAUCUGACGCUGAGGCGCGAAAGCGUGGGUAGCAAACAGG
rnacentral:rRNA from 1 species